AUUGAACGCUGGCGGCAGGCCUAACACAUGCAAGUCGAACGAGAGGCGCACGGGGGAGUGAUAUCUGGGAGACUGCCCGAUGGAGGGGGAUAACUACUGGAGACGGUAGCUAAUACCGCAUACCCUCUGAUGUGACCCGAUGGGGUUAGCUAGUAGGGGGGGUAACGGCUCACCUAGGCGACGAUCCCUAGCUGGUCUGAGAGGAUGACCAGCCACACUGGAACUGAGACACGGUCCAGACUCCUACGGUAGGCAGCAGUGGGGAAUAUUGCACAAUGGGCGCAAGCCUGAUGCAGCCAUGCCGCGUGUAUGAAGAAGGCCUUCGGGUUGUAAAGUACUUUCAGCGAGGAGGCGUUACCCGCAGAAGAAGCACCGGCUAACUCCGUGCCAGCAGCCGCGGUAAUUC
rnacentral:rRNA from 1 species